CCUACGGGAGUCAGCAGUGGGGAAUAUUGGGCAAUGGGCGCAAGCCUGACCCAGCAACGCCGCGUGAAGGAAGAAGGCUCUCGGGUUGUAAACUUCUUUUAUCAGGGACGAAGCAAGUGACGGUACCUGAUGAAUAAGCCACGGCUAACUACGUGCCAGCAGUCGCGGUAAUACGUAGGUGGCAAGCGUUAUCCGGAUUUACUGGGUGUAAAGGGCGUGUAGGCGGGAAAGCAAGUCAGAUGUGAAAACCAUGGGCUCAACCUGUGGCCUGCAUGUGAAACUGUUUUUCUUGAGUACUGGAGAGGCAGACGGAAUUCCUGGUGUAGCGGUGAAAUGCGUAGAUAUUAGGAGGAACACCAGUGGCGAAGGCGGUCUGCUGGACAGCAACUGACGCUGAGGCGCGAAAGCGUGGGGAGCAAACAGGAUUAGAUACCCCUGUAGUC
rnacentral:rRNA from 1 species